rnacentral:rRNA from 1 species
GAACAACAGGGAUGCCUCAGUAACGGCGAGUGAAGCGGCAACAGCUCAAAUUUGAAAUCUGGCCUCACGGCCCGAGUUGUAAUUUGUAGAGGAUGUUUUGGGUACCGCCGCGGUUUAAAUUUCUUGGAACAGAAUGUCAAAGAGGGUGAGAAUCCCGUCUUGGACCGCGGUAGGGCCUGUGUAAAACUCCUUCGACGAGUCGACUUGUUUGGGAAUGCAGGUCAAAAUGGGUGGUAAAUUUCAUCUAAAGCUAAAUAUUGGCCAGAGACCGAUAGCGCACAAGUAGAGUGAUCGAAAGAUGAAAAGCACUUUGAAAAGAGAGUUAAACAGUAUGUGAAAUUGUUGAAAGGGAAGCGCUGGCAACCAGACUCGUGCGCGGGGUUCCCCUCAGUUUCGGCUGGGGCUACUUCCCCGUGUCCGGGCCAUCAUCAGUUUUGGGGGCUGGUCAAAGGUUUCAGGAAUGUAUCCACGCCUUCGGGGGUGGACUUAUAGCCUGGAGCGUCAUGCAGCCACCCGGGACUGAGGAACGCGCUUCGGCGAGGAUGAUGGCGUAAUGGUUGUCAGCGACCCGUCUUGAAACACGGWCCAAGGAGUCUAACAUCUAUGCGAGUGUUCGGGUGUCAAACCCUUGCGCGGAAUGAAAGUGAACGGAGGUAGGAAGGCUGUUGCCUGCACUAUCGACCGAUCCGGAUGUCUUCGGAUGGAUUUGAGUAAGAGCAUAGCUGUUGGGACCCGAAAGAUGGUGAACUAUGCGUGAAUAGGGUGAAGCCAGAGGAAACUCUGGCGGAGGCUCGCAGCGGUUCUGACGUGCAAAUCGAUCGUCUAAUUCGUGUAUAACGCAGAAAGACUAAUCGA